rnacentral:lncRNA from 1 species
AAUGAUUGCUUCACAAUGUUGUAUUGAUUUCUGCCUUACAACAACGUGAGUCAUGUCUGUUUGUUUUUAGGGUGAAGCAAGCUGCAGGAGUGAAUGAAACUGUGGAAUGACUGAGAAGUUAGAAGGCAAAAGAAGGAAGCUUGAGGAGCCCCCUGGUUUCCUCUUAUACACAGAUAAUCAUCUCCUGCAUAUUGAUCAUCUGCUGUCAAAGCAAAAUUCCAGUAGACCAAAUUUUAAAUGCUUCCUUGCUGGCUCAGACAGUAAGGCAUCUGCCUGUAAUGUGGGAGACCUGGGUUCAGUCCCUGGGUCGGGAACACCCCCUGGAGAAGGAAAUGGCAACCCACUCCAGUAUCCUUGCCUGGAAAAUCCCAUGGAUGGAGGAGGCUGGUAGGCUACAGUCCACGGGGUUGCAAAGAGUCGGACAUGACUGAGCAACUUUAAAUCUUCAUACCAAGAACAAAUCCAAAGGUGGAGCAGGGCUGCUGUGCUGCUGGGCCUUCUACUACCAAGUGCCGAAGCACCUCAUGCCAGAGAAUUAUAGUCACUGAUUUCAUGGCGCCAUCAACCAAGAGCAGAGAAAUAGCAGCAAAGUCUGCCCUUCACAGGGCUGCGAGAAUGAGGCCAACACACAUCAGACGCUGGGGGGUAUGGGGCGCGCGCGUGUGUGUGUGUGUGUGUGUGUGUGUGUGUGAAAGAGAGAGAGAGAGAGAAAGAGAGCCCGUGCAUGACUUGCUGUGGAGUUCCUGCAUCAAGUCUACCCCCAGGCCUGCUCUAAACUCUACUUUUCAUGGUUUGAUGGUUUGUUUAUAUGAACAUGUAAUUUCCUCUUUUUGGCUUAAGCUGCUUGAGUUGAGUUUCUCAUAAUUAAGAAUCCUGACUGGAAUAACAUUUUUGUGUCUAAAACUUUUUUUCUAUUUCAAAUUAUUUCCUCAGCAUAUAUUCUUUGAAGGGAAAGUAAAAGGUUCAAAAUAAUCACCAAGUUAUACCAUAUCUAGAAAUGUAUACCUUAUUUCACUAUACUCUUACAAGUAUUGAGUAAUAUAAUUUUUAAGCCUUUGUUAAUUUCUUAGGUUAAAAAAAUAUUAUUUUAAAUUACUUGUUUUAAAUGCUAGUUGAAAAUAUUCCAAUUCUAUUUGUUUUAUACCUUUUUUUGGCAAAUCGUCUAAUUAUAUCUUUAACCUGUUGUCUUUAUUGGGGUUCAAAUGUCUUUGCUUUUUUAAAAAUCAAUUUUUAUUCAUUCUCUCCAGGUAAAGCCUAUUAAUUUGCCUGUCAUAUUUAUCUCAAAUAUUUUUCCUAGCUUGGUUGCUUGCUAUGAAUUCUGUUCAUUAUUCUUUUGGAGUUACAGAAAUUAUAAGAUGUUACAUAAUCAAGUUGGCAUUUUCUUUUACAGCUCUUUGAUUUAGCAGAAAAUAAAGGAGACCUAUUUUCUGUUCUUUAGUCUUUA